AAAUGCUGUGAUACUACCAGGAGUUAGAGAAAAUGACUUCAAGGCCCUUGGGACACCCUUUUCUAGCAGCCCCGAGGCUCCAGUGCAUAGUGUGCAAUCAGCCUUCUAAUAGGAGAAAAACAAUACAAGGCUUCAUGUGUUGGUCCCAAAGCUUGCCUCUUCUGGCUGCCCCACCAUGUCACUGCCAUACAAUCAAUGGAAAAAUUGUUCUUUACCAUAACUUGAGAGGGAGAUAAUCAGGAACAAUCUGGCUACACCAUAGGCUAAUCACAAUGACUGAUAUUUCUAGGGCUGCAUUAAUCAAGCCUUCAAGUAGACAGACUCUUACGGUCAGACCGAUUCUAGAAUGAUUCUGCCUCCACUGUGGGAAUCUUUUAUAAACGGAAAUUCUCCAUUCAGCCUUCCCUCUCUCCUAAGUGCAAAAUCCCUCCUAAUGGUAGCAUCUGUUGUCUGCGGCAAACAGAGUUGAUUACAGAUGCUCUGAAAGGAAUUUAAGUAUUUUCUCUUGCUACUCAGGAGGUGAUGGUGUGAUGGGAGACAGUAACUCUUUUUAGAAAAUAAAAAACCUUUGGCUAAACAGUGACUACAAUAAUAAAGAAUGGCUUGGUUUCCUGAAGCCUACUUUGCAAUUGUUGAAGUGAUUUGCCCACUCUAGAGAAGGUAUAUGAAGUGGAAAUGGAAUAUGAAGAGAUAUUCGUACAAGGGAACAAGGUGUGUAUUCCUAGCCUUAAUUUUAAGGUUGUAUGUCU
rnacentral:lncRNA from 1 species